CAGACAUACUCAUAUAACGCACAAAAAAAACUGUUGUAAUGUGACUAAACAUUACAACAAGUGCCAGAUGAGUCAAAACGGUCGCAAGCUAACAGGAGCAGUAUUCACUUCAAUAUGCUAACAAAAAAGUAGGAAGAUUGGUCGUGUGCCAGAAAAUGCUUUUUGUACAUACACGUACAUUAAAGUGCCUUUAUAACUAAUUUUCCGUUGCUUUAUAUGUCCUUAAGCUAUUAAAUCAGUUGUUGUUGUUAAGUUGACAGGUUAGCAGCACCAGCUAGCACAACAUCUGCUAAACAGCUAAACAACCCCGCAAACGUCCUGAAGUCAUGUCUACAGUCAGCUUUUGGAGGCUUUCUUUCUCUCCUUGCUGUGAGGAGAAAACAUUGGGAGCAGCACCUAUCAAGCCACCAAUGUAAUCCUGAGGAGUAUUGACCAGGCUUGCAUCUAAAGGGAACGACCAAAGCGUCUGUUUGCUGUCCAACACACCCUUCUGCAUGUAAAGUGUUUUUGCUCGCUCCUUAUCCAGAACAGCCAGUUUCUGCAAGGGGAAAAUGUUUGAUCACUAAAGUUAAAAUGGCACACAUUUGUAGAAUAUGCAUAUUAAGUAAACAACAUGGUCUUUGAGCAAUUUUAUUGUAAUUCAAAAUAAAAUUAUAAAAACUAA